CAGUCGCCACGGUAAUACGAAGGGGGCUAGCGUUGUUCGGAUUUACUGGGCGUAAAGCGCACGUAGGCGGACUUUUAAGUCAGGGGUGAAAUCCCGGGGCUCAACCCCGGAACUGCCUUUGAUACUGGAAGUCUUGAGUAUGGUAGAGGUGAGUGGAACUCCGAGUGUAGAGGUGAAAUUCGUAGAUAUUCGGAGGAACACCAGUGGCGAAGGCGGCUCACUGGACCAUUACUGACGCUGAGGUGCGAAAGCGUGGGGAGCAAACAGGAUUAGAUACCCCCGUAGUCCCUGUCUCUUAUAC
rnacentral:rRNA from 1 species